CCUACGGGUGGCUGCAGUAGGGAAUAUUGCUCAAUGGGGGAAACCCUGAAGCAGCAACGCCACGUGGAGGAUGAAGGUCUUCGGAUUGUAAACUUCUUUUGUUAGAGAAGAAAAUGACGGGUGCUAACGAAUAAGCACCGGCCAACUCCGUGCCAGCAGCCGCGGUAAUACGGAGGGUGCAAGCGUUACUCGGAAUCACUGGGCGGAAAGAGCGUGUAGGCGGGAUGGCAAGUCAGAUGUGAAAUCCUCUGGCUUAACCAUAGAACUGCAUUUGAAACUGUUAUUCUGGAGUAUGGGAGAGGUAGGUGGAAUUCUUGGUGUAGGGGUAAAAUCCGUAGAGAUCAAGAGGAAUACUCAUGGCGAAGGCGACCUGCUAGAACAUAACUGACGCUGAUGCGCGAAAGCGUGGGGAGCAAACAGGAUUAGAUACCCUAGUAGUC
rnacentral:rRNA from 1 species